rnacentral:misc_RNA from 1 species
CACGUAUUACGGGGGGGCAGGAAUUAAGGUAUAUGUAACCCAUGUGCUUUGUUUCUGUCCUUCUGAAUAUUCUACCCAUGUCUUUUGCGUACUAUUUGUUCCCUUGGUGAGCUUGCUCGCCAAUAGGACACUGUAAAACCUUUUGUAAUUGCAGUCAGCGUCAGAAAUAACUUAAUAGUUA